rnacentral:rRNA from 1 species
GAUGAACGCUAGCGGCAGGCCUAAUACAUGCAAGUCGAGGGGUAGAUUGGAGCUUGCUUCGAUUGAGACCGGCGCACGGGUGCGUAACGCGUAUGCAACCUACCUUGAUCAGGGGGAUAGCCCGGAGAAAUCCGGAUUAACACCGCAUGAAGACACAGAACAGCAUGGUUCAAUGUCCAAACAUUUAUGGGAUCAAGAUGGGCAUGAGUGCCAUUAGAUAGUUGGAGGGGGAACGGCCCACCAAGGCGACAAUGGCUAGGGGCUCUGAGAGGAUGGCCCCCCACACUGGUACUGAGACACGGACCAGACUCCUACGGGAGGCAGCAGUAAGGAAUAUUGGUCAAUGGGCGCAAGCCUGAACCAGCCAUGCCGCGUGCAGGAAGACGGCCCUCCGGGUUGUAAACUGCUUUUAUACCGGAAUAAACCUCCCUACGUGUAGGGAGCUGAAUGUACGGUAGGAAUAAGGAUCGGCUAACUCCGUGCCAGCAGCCGCCGUAAAAC